UCAUUGUUUGGCAUGUCAAUAAAUUAUUGACGUGUCAAAAAGUGGCACGUGAAAAAAAAAAAAAUUUGAUGUGUCAUUUUUUAACACGUCAAUAAUUUAUUGACGUGUCAGUUUUGACACGUCAACAA